GAUGAACGCUGGCGGCGUGCUUAACACAUGCAAGUCGAGCGAGUGAGUUCUUCGGAACGAUCUAGCGGCGGACGGGUGAGUAACACGUGGGCAACCUGCCUCAUAGAGGGGAAUAGCCUCCCGAAAGGGAGAUUAAUACCGCAUAAAAUUAUCGAGUGGCAUCACAUGAUAAUCAAAGGAGUAAUCCGCUAUGAGAUGGGCCCGCGGUGCAUUAGCUAGUUGGUGAGGUAACGGCUCACCAAGGCGACGAUGCGUAGCCGACCUGAGAGGGUGAUCGGCCACAUUGGGACUGAGACACGGCCCAGACUCCUACGGGAGGCAGCAGUGGGGAAUAUUGCGCAAUGGGGGAAACCCUGAUGCAGCAACGCCGCGUGAGUGAUGAAGGUCUUCGGAUUGUAAAGCUCUGUCUUUGGGGACGAUAAUGACGGUACCCAAGGAGGAAGCCACGGCUAACUACGUGCCAGCCGCCGCCGUAA
rnacentral:rRNA from 1 species